CCAGGGCAUUUUAUAGGGCCACGCCAUCUCUUUUUCUCUCUAGCGUUGGAUGAAAAACUAACGUCAUCGAACGCUUCAACGUGGCUUGUACAUACUGGCACUUCUAAAGUCUUCUUGAAGUCUCUUGCUUGCAUCCUCUCUUCCCUUACCUGCUGCUUCUUUGCGUCCCUGCCACCGUCGCAAUCGGAGCGCUCACGAAAUCUCCCGUCAAACAAAGAGGCCACCAGCGCAUCCUGGAUGCUCCACCGGCCGACGGUGCCGCGACGCUCCACCUGGGCGCUCCGACAGCCGCCUGCGCUGGGCAGCUCCGUCCGGUGGCAUGCCUGCUCGGCCGCAACGAUCAGUCAGGCAGGCGGAGGGGUCUGGGAUGGCUGCGCCGGCAGACGGCAGCGAGCUCCUUUCGCCUGAUCAAAGCUGCCAGACACUUGGAGGCGUUCUCUAUUCCGUUAAUUGCUCUUGCAACCUGGAAGCAAGCAAUUUAUUUAUGCAAUACAAGUACGUUUUUAGCUUCAGCUGCAAGAGAGUAUCCUUCCUAGAAUAUCUCUAUGAAAGGGGCUAAGUGCUGUCGUCCCCCAUUUGCUUGCAAGCUCACAACUGGUUGAUGUUGUCUGCAUGCAGAUAGCAUAAGUGCAGUUUCUCUCUGAUGUUGUAUAUGCUGAAGAACUAGCCAGCACUGUAGGACAAAUAGAUGGUAUGUUAAAGAUACUAGCAAUUGUGGAUCA